rnacentral:rRNA from 1 species
UGGCUCAGAUUGAACGCUGGCGGCAGGCCUAACACAUGCAAGUCGAGCGGUAGCACAAGAGAGCUUGCUCUCUGGGUGACGAGCGGCGGACGGGUGAGUAAUGUCUGGGAAACUGCCUGAUGGCGGGGGAUAACUAGUGGAAACGGUAGCUAAUACCGCAUAACGUCGCAAGACCAAAGUGGGGGACCUUCGGGCCUCACGCCAUCAGAUGUGCCCAGGUGGGAUUAGCUGGUAGGUGGGGUAACGGCUCACCUAGGCGACGAUCCCUAGCUGGUCUGAGAGGAUGACCAGCCACACUGGAACUGAGACACGGUCCAGACUCCUACGGGAGGCAGCAGUGGGGAAUAUUGCACAAUGGGCGCAAGCCUGAUGCAGCCAUGCCGCGUGUGUGAAGAAGGCCUUCGGGUUGUAAAGCACUUUCAGCGAGGAGGAAGGGUAAUGUGU